rnacentral:rRNA from 1 species
AGUGGGGAAUAUUGCACAAUGGGCGCAAGCCUGAUGCAGCGACGCCGCGUGAGGGAUGAAGGCCUUCGGGUUGUAAACCUCUUUCAGCAGGGAAGAAGCGCAAGUGACGGUACCUGCAGAAGAAGCGCCGGCUAACUACGUGCCAGCAGCCGCGGUAAUACGUAGGGCGCAAGCGUUGUCCGGAAUUAUUGGGCGUAAAGAGCUCGUAGGCGGUUUGUCGCGUCUGCUGUGAAAACGCGAGGCUCAACCUCGCGCCUGCAGUGGGUACGGGCAGACUAGAGUGCGGUAGGGGAGACUGGAAUUCCUGGUGUAGCGGUGGAAUGCGCAGAUAUCAGGAGGAACACCGGUGGCGAAGGCGGGUCUCUGGGCCGUAACUGACGCUGAGGAGCGAAAGCAUGGGGAGCGAA